AAAAGAUGAAGAGGUAAAAUCCCUGAAAGGAUCACUUAACAAUUUUUUCAGACCUGUUAGUUCUUCUAGAGAUCCCCUGGAAUUGGCCAUAGUAAGUGUUGAAUAACAACCAGAUGAGAAUACAAAUUCUACUGAUGAUGAUAUGAAUGAGGGUAAUAACAAUUCCAGUGAGCAAGAAAAUGUAACUCAUUCACCGAGUGUCGAUAAACAACAACCAUUCACUGUUGACAUUUUUGAUCCACGAAACUGGGAUAAUCUGGAUGAUAAGGCUAGGGAUAUUUUAGUUGAGAAGGGUCCCGUAAGAAAUGAUGAUAUUGUGUACCCUCCAGAUAUUAAUUCUAGACGUUUUUCACAAUCUUAUUAUUCCAGAAAGUUGAGCAAUGGAGAGGUACAUGACAGGAAAUGGUUGGUUUACUCUGAACAUGUUAACAAAGUGUACUGCUUUUGUUGCAAGCUUUUCAAAUCCCAUAGCAACAAGAGUGCGUUAGCAGGUAAUGAUUGAGUGACUGGAAGCUAUCUUAGCGAGAGGCUUAAAGAACAUGAAAAUGGUGUAGAGCAUAUUAAAACCAUGAACACUUGGAAUGAGUUAAAAGUUAGACUAGCCAAAAUAAGACCAUUGAUAAGGAUAUCCAGUAGCAGAUCAAUAAGGAGAAAGAACGUUUGAGACAAGUGUUAGUGAGAUUAGUAGCCAUUGUUAAAAAUCUUGGUAAACGUAACUUGGCUUUUCGUGGAUGUAGUGAGAAACUUUACCAACACAAUAAUGGUAAUUUUUUGGCAUGUGUAGAGAUGAUUGCUGAAUUUGAUACAAUAAUGCAAGAACAUCUUAGACGAAUUCAAAAUGAUGAAAUUUAUCAUCACUAUCUCAGCCACAAAAUCCAGAAUGAGUUGAUUUCUCUUUUGGCCUCUAGUGUUACUAGUUCUAUCUUACAAAUUAUUAAAGAGGCUAAAUAUUUCUCCAUAAUUCUUGAUUGUACUCCAGAUGUUAACCAUCAAGAACAAAUGUAUUCGAUGUGUCAACAUGUCAAAUAAGAAAAUAAAAAUAGAAGAAUAUUUUAUGGAAUUUUUGACGGUGGAUGACACUUCUGGUUUGGGUCUUUUUAAUGUACUUAUUGAUGCAAUAGUGGCUUAUGGAUUAAAUAUUGAUAGUGUAAGGGGCCAAAGGUACGAUAAUGGUUCCAACAUGAAAGGAAAUAAACAAGGGAUACAAAGUCGUUUAUUUGAAAGAAAUCCAAGAGCUCUAUAUAUGCCAUAUGUGUGUCAUAGCCUCAAUCUUACUUUGUGUGAUAUGGCAAGUUCUUGCAGUAAAGCUACAUCCUUCUUUGGAAUUGUGCAACGAAUUUAUGUUUUAUUUUCAAGUUCCACAAAAAUAUGGAAAGUUUUACUUGACCAUAUUCCUAGUUUAACUGUGAAAGGUUUGUCUAAUACUCGGUGGGAGAGUCGAAUCAAAAGUGUAAAAGCUAUUAGAUAUCAAGCUCCACAAUUAAGGCUAGCUUUGUUCGAGUUAUGUAAAAUUUGUGAUGAUGCCUAGUCAAGGAGCGACGCAAAAAAAUUAUUUGAUGCACUUGGUAGUUUUGAGUUUUUACUUGGCAUGGUUAUUUGGCAUGAUAUAUUUUUUGCUGUAAACAUGGUGAGCAAGAAGUUGCAGUCUGCAUCUAUGUGUGUCGACUCUACCUUGCAGCAAAUUGAAGGCGUAAUGCACUUUUUUGAUAAGUAUAGAGAUGAAGGAUUUGCAUCUUGUUUGACUAUCGCCAAAGGUCUUGCAAUUGACAUGGGCAUAGAACCAUCAUUUCCAAUAAAACGUAACGUUACUAGGAAGAAACAAUUUGAUGAACCCGAUAACGAAGAAGAAGUUCUAAAAGUUGAGAAGGCGUUCAAAGUUAUUUAUUUCUUAGUUGUGGUUGAUAUUGCAAAGGUCUCUUUGACAACUAGAUUCAAAGAACUCAAAGUGUUCAAAAGUAUAUUUGGCUUCUUACUUAGCUCAAAAGACAUGAAGUUAUUGGAUGAUGUUGAACUACGCAAAUGUUGUGCUAAGUUUGUAGAAACAUUUUCACGAAAUGGUUCAUGCGAUGUUGAGUUAGAUGAUUUUUUUUCUGAAUUAAGACUGCUGCAAAUGACUUUACCAGAAUCAGAUUUGCUAUUGCACGCUAUGGAGAUUUUUGAGUUUGUUAGAGAUAUUGACUUUUUUCCAAAUGUUUUAAUUGCUUAUCGAAUUUUGUUCACUGUACCAAUGACCGUAGCAUCAGCAGAGCGUAGCUUUUCGAAGUUGAAAUUGUUAAAGAACUAUUUGAGGUCAACAAUGUCACAAGAACGAUUAAAUGGUCUUGCUACUUUAUGUAUUGAGAAAGAUAAGUUGGAUGAAAUAAAUGAUCGAUGACUUUGCUUCUAGAACUGUUAGACGAAUUUCCAAGUUCUAGUAUAGACGUGAAAUGCUCAGUUUCCUUUACUAUGCCUUGAGCAGAAAUGUUUGGAAGAAUUGAGUUAUUAUCUUGGUGAAGAACUUUGGAGUGAAGAACAUGACCAAUUGGGGAAGAUCCGGAAACAAAUAACAAAAUGAAGUCUCCAUUCAAAUUUAGGAAUGCAAGCUUUUGGGGAAACCUAGCUUUUGUUGAACUACAUCAUUUCAUUGCUAUCAUGGUGUAGUUCACUUGAUCAACUAAUAAAUUGUAUUGUCAGCUUUAGAGUGCGAAUUAAGAUCAUCAGACUAUCCUAUUUACUGGAUAUUACUUUGCUUUUGAAAUAUAAAUAUUUUGAGCUUUUGAGUAAACACAAGGGCCCCUUAUUGUUGUCUUGCCCCGGGGCCCUGUAUAUCUAUGGGCCGGCCCUGCAUGUCAACCAAACGAGCUAGACUGAGUUAAGCAUGUGUCAACCUUGGGAGAUUACUUUUGCUAUCCGACUACUCAUCAAAGCUUUCUUUCCCUUUGAUCCGAAUAAACUUGCUUUAGUAUAAGUUCAUAGAGAGAAUGCCCGACUUGUAAAGAGGCUCAGGACCGGUAUUUCUUUAGAAACCAUGAAGCAGGCUCUCAGGGACAAAGGAUAGCAAGCUAGCGGAGGUCUGGAAGGACGCGUAUGCGUAGGCUAAAGCGGCCGAGCGGUCGCUGAAGUUAGUCGAGAAGCUCAAGGAGGAGAGCAAGACCCUAAAGGCUUCUGCUGAGGUGAUCAAAGGCGAGAUCACCGAGCUCAAGAAACAGUACACCGAGUGGGAGAUGAAGUGCAAUACCCAGGCGAGUGCUUUCGAGGAGGAGAGGAAAAAGCUGAGCGACUAGGUUGCCGAGCUCCUCAAAAAGAAGGUUGAGCUCGAAGAGUACGUCGAAGACUUCAGCGAGGAGAUGAGCAAGAAGCUCGAAGAAUUCCAUGUUGAUGCCGAGCUGGAGACUGAGAGGAUUGAGAAAUAACAGCUGCUGCUCAAGGACAACACUGGAUUGGCGAUCCUCCGACAGGACGAGCACAUCAACAAUGCAGCGACUUACAUAGAGCGUCUGAAGCUCGCCACGGAGAUGAUCGACGAGGAAUUGCUUCCAGAGGUGACGCUUCAGAGUGGCCUGGAGUCCAUGAUGACCAGACUGAAGGCGAUCACAAGCCGAGUGCAAUCAUGGAAGAAGUCCGCGGCUCGAUGCAGAGUUGACGUGGCGCUUUCACUCAUCCGUGUCCACUGCAAGGAUGUGGACGAAGAGAAGCUGAUGUCCUUCAAGGCCGCCAACAAGAAAAUUUUUAGGUUCGAGGACUUCAUGGAGACGUUCAUCAAGGCCGCCACAUGGAUCGCAAAUGACAUCGACUUAGACACAUUCGUUGGUCCACCCAGCCCUGCGUCGGACGCAUGACUGAAAAACUUUUAAUUCCGAAUGAAUUUGCCUCGGUAUCCCGACAGGUUUUAUGUAACCGCUAAACUUUAAUGAUCUUGGAGCUCACGUACUUGAUCUUUUGCAUUGACAACUUUGGAUGGAUCGAAGUUUUAGUCCGAUGUUUGAAUCC